UACAGAGGUCUCAAGCGUUGUUCGGAUUCAUUGGGCGUAAAGGGUGCGUAGGUGGCGCUGUAAGUCGGGGGUGAAAUCCUGGAGCUCAACUCCAGAACUGCCUCGAUACUGGCGACCUUGAGUCCGGGAGAGGUGAGUGGAACUCCGAGUGUAGAGGUGAAAUUCGUAGAUAUUCGGAAGAACACCAGUGGCGAAGGCGGCUCACUGGCCCGGUACUGACGCUCAUGUGCCGGAAAGCGUGGGGAGCAAACAGGAUAGAACCCUAGAGUCCAGACCAAGAUCUCCUGACCGUCGA
rnacentral:rRNA from 1 species